GACGAACGCUGGCGGCGUGCCUAAUACAUGCAAGUCGAACGAACCGCGACUAAGUGCUUGCACUAAGUCAAGGUGAGUGGCGAACGGGUGAGUAACACGUGGGUAACCUACCUCAUAGUGGGGGAUAACAGUCGGAAACGACUGCUAAUACCGCAUAGGACAUAGGAUCACAUGAUCCAGUGAGGAAAGGUGGCGCAAGCUAUCGCUAAGAGAUGGACCCGCGGUGCAUUAGCUAGUUGGUAGGGUAAAGGCCUACCAAGGCGAUGAUGCAUAGCCGACCUGAGAGGGUGAUCGGCCACAUUGGGACUGAGACACGGCCCAAACUCCUACGGGAGGCAGCAGUAGGGAAUCUUCCGCAAUGGACGCAAGUCUGACGGAGCAACGCCGCGUGAGUGAAGAAGGUCUUCAGAUCGUAAAGCUCUGUUGUUAGAGAAGAACAGCGCAUAGAGUAACUGCUAUGCGUGUGACGGUAUCUAACCAGAAAGCCACGGCUAACUACGUG
rnacentral:rRNA from 1 species